rnacentral:rRNA from 1 species
GUCCACGCCCUAAACGAUGGCAACUAGUUGUUGGAGGAUGAACUCCUUUAGUAACGCAGCUAACGCGUGAAGUUGCCCGCCUGGGGAGUACGGUCGCAAGAUUAAAACUCAAAGGAAUUGACGGGGGCCCGCACAAGCGGUGGAUGAUGUGGUUCAAUUCGAUGCAACGCGAAAACCUUACCUACCCUUGACAUGCCAGGAAGCCCGAUGAAAGUUGGGUGUGCCCGAAAGGGAACCUGGACACAGGUGCUGCAUGGCUGUCGU